CUAAAACACACAAACUUGGAAUGUUUUAUUUUACUCUUGGUAAUAUUCAUCCUUACUACCGGUCCACUGUUCGGCAUAUAUAUCUACUAAGCAUUGCUUAUACUUUAGACAUUGAAAAGUAUGGAAUUGAUGAAAUAUUGAAACCUUUUAUGAAUGAGAUAAAGGAAUUUGAAGAGGACUGUGGUUGUGAAAUUUCUGUUAACGGUUUUUCGCAAUACCUACGAGGCAGUCUUUCUGUUUGUUGUGC